UUUCCUUCUGUAUUUUUAUGUAGCGAUAUUUUAUAUGCAUAGACAAAAUGAAGCCUUAUUUUCUCACUAAGGCAAGAACAUGGAAUCUGUUCAAUUUUCUGGGGAAGACAAAUUAAAAACCUGAUAGACUUAAUUUUUUUCUGAAGUCUUUAAGUGUUUUCCCUGUAUUUAAAUUUUUUAAGUUUGGUGAAGGAUGUCUGAGCAUGCUAUUAUUCAUGAAGGCAUGUUUAUAUUUGAAAGUUUUGUCAGGUCUGCUUUCAAGUUAUCUGGAAGAUGUAAGAGGAUGUUGCCUAAUCCUGACAGAAAGGUUCCUUGUGUAGCUAGAGCAGCAUAUUACACAGGAGAAUAUGGACUUCUUGAGCUGCUGCCUUUGUCCUUUGCUAUCUAUUGGUAAAUCAGUACCUGUGGGUGGGAAGCACCUGAGAUUCUGGAAGAAACAAAGAAAUGCUAGUGAUGGUCAAGAGCAGCUCCUGUUUAAAUGCUGGUCUGUAGCCCAAGAACAUGGUAUCUCUUCAGUAUGACUCCAGAACAGCAGAUUCAGAGCUAGGACAAGUCUUUCACUUAGGUGCUAAACGGAGCUGCAGAAGUCCAGGAGAUGAUGACAGGUUCCUGAAGAAAAGGAUCUGCUCCCCUCCAAACGUGGGCCAGAUGAGGAUCCUGGUUGCCUGGAGAUCCUUGCCUUCACUGCCCCCAUGUAGAUACGUGGCUUAUGCCAAUAAUGG
rnacentral:lncRNA from 1 species